rnacentral:rRNA from 1 species
UACGAAGGGGGGCUAGCGUUGUUCGGAAUUACUGGGCGUAAAGCGCACGUAGGCGGAUAUUUAAGUCAGGGGUGAAAUCCCAGAGCUCAACUCUGGAACUGCCUUUGAUACUGGGUAUCUUGAGUAUGGAAGAGGUGAGUGGAAUUCCGAGUGUAGAGGUGAAAAUUUCGUAGAUAUUCGGAGGAACACCAGUGGCGAAGGCGGCUCACUGGUCCAUUACUGACGCUGAGGUGCGAAAGCGUGGGGGAGCAAACAGG